ACCAAGGAAGGAGGAGCACGGCGCUGCGCCCGCUGUCCCCGCCGUCCUCACCAAAGGACGCCAGGACGGAGGUGUUGCGGUCGAGGUGGGGGCCUCCAGCUUGUGCUGCUUCACGUGAGUAGAAGCAGCGCUCCAUGGGCAAGGCGUCUGAUGCAGAGAGAGGAGAGGAGAUGAAGCAGCGCCGUCUCAUCAUCGCUGGGAGUAGUUUGGCCUCACGCCGCCAUGCUGUCGCCCGGAGCAACGCCACCUCGCACCGCUGAUGUAGCCCCCAAUCUCAGUCUCCAUUGGACCCGAGCAACAGUGAGGGGAGCGGCGCCGUCGGCUGCCUCAUACCUCACCGUCCCAGUAGCGACUGACGAUUCGAGAAACCUGAUGCACGUUUACUUGUUGAAGACAACGGACAGAGAAGACGAUGCUGACAUGGAAUUAGAUGGUACAAAUUUAUGAAAAAUUUGGCACAUCAAUAUAGAUCUGGAGAAGGUUGAUUUGAAUACAUGUAGUGCUUGAAUCUGUCUUCUGGGCUUAUUUUAUCCUCCAAACGAUAUUCGAGCCAGUCAAGUUCGACAACUAUGGCAGCGACAACUAUGUGUUCGAUUUGUUGGCAUCGGGCGUGGCACCUCGGCCCGGAGAUCAAUGGUGAUGAGGAGCAGGUGCAGUCAUCUUUGCGGCACUCGCGCUGAUCCGACAGUGAGGCACGUUCAGCCAGGACCAAGGUAAAGACCUCCUUCUUCCUCGCUCUGCAUUCAUGUUGGUUCUUCUUUGUGAAUCAUUUUGCUAUCAAUGUUAUUUUUUGGGGCCUAGCAAGGUAGCUUACCAAAUUCCAAUUUAUGCUCUACUUGUGUGUGACCAUGCGUGCUUCGCUAGCUGUCUGCUUGUUUGCUUGCUGGUGUGCUAAUGCUCUACUGACUUGUUUGCUGCCUACUAGGUUGGUUUUUCGAAAUGGCCUACUAGGUUGGUGAUUGAUGCUCCUGUUAUUUUACUUGAGGUGUGCAUGGUUCAGGAUGGAUUUCUGGUUUGGGGUGAUCUGGUUGGUUAAGGAGCACCAGUUUGCCAAUGUACCAUGACAUCGAGAAGAGAUGAUGAUCUCUUCCUCCCUAUUUACUUCCUCAUCUAACCUUUGACUAUGUUUUGAUUUAAUCCCCACAAUUUUUCAUGAGAUCAUGAGAGCAUUAAUCCAUGUAGUAAUUUAAUCGACAAGCUGUAGGUUAAUACCCACUCUAUUUGAUUUCUUCAUGUGAAUUAUUGUGGCCAGAUCUAGAAGAUAUCAAAAGAUUAUUGAUUUUCAAUUAUGCAAUGCAGAGACGGGAGGCUGCAGGGCUCUGCCUCCUCCAACCCCACCCUCAUCGGCGCCCAUGGAGGUAAAUUAAUACAACGAUAUGUUGAGCCGAUGUGAGCUCUUGUCAAUUCACAACAAAAUGCAGAGACUUUUUUUCCACACUCUAAAAUUAUUUAGUUUCUCUAAAUAUAUUUGCACACAUGGGUUAAGUUCUCCUUGCCAUUGAUGGUGCAAGCAAUUUGUUCCUCCUGGGUCCUAGAAAGAUUUUGAAUUAUUUAGUUUCUCUAAAUAGAUGGGUUCAGUUCUCCUUGCCACUGAUGAUACAAACAAUUUGUUCCUGGGUCCUAGAAAGAUUUUGAAAUAAAGUGGCUACUACUUGAUUUGUUAGGGGAGCAUGGUCGCAAUGCUCGUGGAAUUAUGUUUUGUAACAUCGCCAAGAAACUAUAACUCAUCUUUCCCGAAUUGAAUUUAUUUGUAGUUGUACAGCUGCAUACCUGCAGUGGUUAUGAUUUAAGAUUCUGGAUGUGUGGUUAAAAUUUAUUAGCAGAGGCUAAUUUUACUAAAUAUUCAGUAUUUCAGUUUCUUUGUGAAUCAGUUCAGCAUUAGUAGUGGAAUUUCUAGCCAGAAUCUUGCUCUUCACGCUGGUAAAGGUUGGACCUUUCUGGUUCGAACCAUAGAGAUAAUUUGGAUGUGUCUUCUUUUCUAGAAAAGUAUACUUGCAGCUAUAUCCUCUCAUUCAAUUGUUUUAUGUGUUGCAAAAUUCUUUAGGUAAUGAAAAGCACAAUUUAGUUAUCUUCUAUACUACAGAUUUUAUAUUAUUUCAUUAGCAUAAAGAUGGAAAUGCAGGUUCAUGGAGAACACUAGGUGGAUUUGCUCGCAGUUUUGGACAUGGACCUCAUCUGUAAGGUAAGGAUUUAAAGGUAUAACUCGAAUCUUGGUUAUUUUUUUGAGUAUGUACUUCCCUCCCAUAGUUUUGAGUAUUAAAUCUAAAGGUGGUUGGAACUGUAUAUGAGUCUCUUACCUAAAGUAUGCAAGGAGCCAAUUAGCUUGAGGUGAUAAAUAAUAUCUCAUGUUCAAUACAUUUUCUUCUUUGGUAGCAUGUAACUGCCUAUUUUUCGGAUCUUCUUGAGUUGUAAUUAUAGGAAAUACUCAAUUGACUAAUUAUAAAUCUGUUUCAGAAGGCCUUUAGGUUUCACUAAACAGGCAUUGCCUAUAUGGGUUUUCCUUCCACUGCAGUGGGCCGCAUGAUACCGUCAGAUGUACUAAUAAUCUCUAAGGUGGUCUCUUUAUGCGAUUCUAAGUGCACUAUGUUUCUCCCUUUGUAAGUACGACUCCAUCAAUCCAAAAGACGUGCACAGUUACAUGAUAGGGUUCCUGCUAUCCAUGAUGUUUCUCUUCCAGGUCAGACGAAUGCUAAGAUCAGUGCCCAACUUGACGUUGAGACAGAGACAAGAUGGUAACUCUAAAUAUCUGAGACCACAGGGGUUAGCACCUAAAGUGCUAUGUUCUGAUUAUUGUGCAUGUCUAUUACUGAAGGCAACUUCACUUUGAGACAAACACAAGAUGGUUCAGGUUCUAAUAAAUAUUUUCCUUGGUCAAAGCAAAGCAGUUACGAAGUUGAUACCCAUUUUGCUAGAAUAUCCAGCUUCAGUGAAAGGACCGGUAACUUGCAUUUUGGUUAUCUGCACGUUUCUCAUAUCCUUUUGUGAGCCAACUUAACUUUUGAAUAUUCAUUCUUGUAUUGGAAGCUAACCACAAUCUUUUGGGGCGUCUGUUUGGCUUUGGAUUACUUGCAAGGUCUCGGAUGUUUCAAUAUAGUGGACACGGGUCACAUCUUCCGUUGUUAUGAAGGAUUUUGUUGCUGAAGUUAUACAACUUGGUCGUAGGUGGCUCUAUGGUGUUCCGGCCUUGCGAGCUUGUGGUCGGCCAGUGCAGAAAAGGUGUGCUGCAGCCUGAAAUGCCAGCAUGCAGCCGGCGGCCGUCGAGGAAACUCAAGCACACUUGCCUCUUCUACUGUAGACCAAGGUUUAUGUUCUCUCUGGUACUAUAAUUUUCAUCUCUUAUAAAUUAAAUUAUGAACACUAGCUGCACAUCAACAUGCAAUGUUUUUCAGCAAUCAAACUUUUAUAUGCUCUGCAAUUGUAAACUUUUUAAUCGAUCUGAAUUUCGCAUUUACACUUCUUCCUUUUAGUUAAUUGGUUCUCUCUCCACAAUUGGUGUGUGAUGCUAUGUAUGACUGCAAACCUGACAUAAUUUAGCUUUCUCUUAAUUCUCCAUUAGAUUUACUUCUAUUCUCUGUUAUAUUUCCAAGUCUAUUUAAGCAUGAUCACAGUUACUAAUUUUCUUGCGUAUAGCUUUCUCUUACUAUCCCCAUUAUAUUUACUUCCAUGGCAUUUCUCUCUAAGAAGCUAUUACUUGCCAAAUUUUAUCUUUGCACUAUUAUAUACUCUGACGGAUAUCGCUAGAAAUUUUGGUUCUUUGACUAAAAAGGGUUUGAUUCAUUUGUGCGACUUUUCUUAGAAUCCGUGUGACCUGCAAAGCACUCAUCUGUGCGACCUGCAAAACUGUCAUGCAUGUUAUUCUGAAUUAUUUGGACCGAUUGGUCUAAAAGGUAACGAGUAACAACACACGUGUAUGGAUGCUCAAACAAUCAACUCCUCAUUGAUAGUUCAUUUUCACGGACACACAUUCAAUUCACUGAGGUUAGAUUUCUAAUUCUUUUGGUGUUGAUUACGAAAUAAUGUUGCUUGUGCAUCUCAAUUCAGUAGGGGUCAUCUGCAAAGGUCAUCUGUAUUUCUAGAGGCAUAUGCCAAACCCAUGACUUAAAUAAUUUGAGAUCACUGGAUUUUUAAGAUUUUUAAACUGUUCUUUGCCAUUGUUCUGUGUCUGAAAUCUGUUGGUGUAGCCUAUGAGGGAGCCUACUGAACAGUCGUAUCAGUCAUGCAAUUUCAUGUGUAGUGCUUGCUCUCUUUCCUACUGAGAUAGAUGCUAUUGGUGUGUAUACUUAUAUGUGAUGAUGCCAUGAUUGUCUACCCUCUAAUGCUUGAUUAUUUUUUGAACAUGCGCUUUAUUGCAUAAUUUCGAUUUCAGAAGUAAAGGGGAUUGAAAUUAUAUUUCCUUGUUUCAUUUUAAUUUAGCUGACAUAGGAUUGUGACCAAUUGGUACAUAGACAACGCCAUUUCUGACCGGAAGGGGAAAUGAGAAUAAGAGUUCAGUCUGUAUCAAUUAUAUUUAGCCAACUUGGAUGUCCACUAAAACUAAAUCCAUCUGUCAUGUAUAUCAACUGUGAUCCUAUUAACUUUAUGUCAGAAAACACCAGGUUGCUUAAAAGGGUGGAUUUCACCGAUUUGAAAUUCAGCUUGUUUUUCUUGGUUAUGAGCUAAAAGCUUCUACUGAUAGGCUGAAAAGUAAAUCACUUGACCAUAUCAAUUUACGUCAAUCAAAAACACUUCUGGUUGCCAAUGCUGUUAGGAUUUGUCUGCAGCUCCUGGUGAUCUUGGCCAGCGGAUCAGAUGGACUUUUGGGCAAAAAGAUACCUUCAGAUCAUUUAGUAUAUUUAUUAUUCUUCAAUGUUCUCCUUUGUUUUUAGAAAUGCUUUAUGAUUUUGCUGUUGUUUCUUUUUCCGUGAUCUGAAAUAAGUUCUGGUUUAGUUAUCUGUUUUGGUUUUUGUUAGUAUAAGAAAACUACACAGAUGGUCAUGCUCUCAAUCCUUCUUUGUUUAACUUGAUUUUUGUUUCUCAGGUUAAUCAUGUGCUCUUUACUUAGAUAUUUCAGAAGCAUAUCACAGGGUUUCUCCGCUUGAACUGGGAAUGAUAAAUCUCCGCAGCUGUAUUUCUUCUUUGUUCCCAUAUAUCCAGUCGUCCAAGAUUGACCUAUUAGUUAGACUUACGGAGUUUUUUAGUAGGUGCACUAUUUUUUUACAGGUUAAGUGUUGGUUUUCAUUAUUCUGUGGGACUGAAGCAUUUCACUAUCAAAUUUUGAAAGCAUACCAUCUAUCGGUGAGAUUAUCUUACAACCAUGUGUGUAUAUAUUUUGUUUGCAGAUGUCAACUCCAGUAUUUCAUCCUCUGUUCUCUCAUUUAAUUCAGAUAUAUGACUAUUAUAGUCUUUCCCUCUUUCACUGCCACUCCCUUUAUUUUGGAGAGUUGUUAUAAAUAAUCACCAUACUAACUCUCUGUAUGUAGUGCACAAAUUAUUUAGUUCACAUUCAAACCUAGGGUGGCAUUAAGUAGCUGACGUUUGUCGAUCUACCAAUAAUUUGUUCUAUUCUUGAUAGAAAUUUCAAUACUAGGUACCUUAAAUGCAGAAAUAUUUUAUUUGAUAUCCCCAUCUCUCACAGAUGCUCCAGACAAUAGGUACAUAUCACCCGGGAGCAUAUCCUCCCAGUUUUCAAACUUUGUUUUAAAUAAACUUUGUUUUAAAUACGCUUUCAAAAUGUUGAAAAAAUCAAACACAAAAUUUAGUGGGUACAUCUCAAAAUUCUACAUGUUCACAAAGUGGUUCCACAGAAAACUGACAUUUUGAGUCUCAUAUGUAAAAAAGACAAAAUUUUCUGUUAAAAAGGUUGUGUACCAGACGGUUUGUUUGUCUUUUUUCACACAAGUCACAAAAAAUGUCUUCUUCACACAAGAGACAAUACAUAUACACAAGUAGCUACAUAUACACAGUUUAUAUGCGCUACUUGUGUAUAUGUAUUGUCUCUUAUAUUCCUGCUUUAGCUUUUACCAACCAUAUCUGGAUGAAGUGUUCUAUCCUUAAAAAUUAAAUAUGUCAAUAAAACAUCACUAUUUUUCUUCCUGUCCUCAUGUCUUGUAUAAUAGACUGUUGCCAACCUUUUUUUAUCCAUUCAACACGAUAUUGUGCUGCUCUUGACUACCGUACGGUAUGAUAUCACCUGAAUAUUGUCUUUUUUGUUACUCAACAGUCAGCUGUUACAUGGGUUGUGAAAAUUCUAACCAAUGUCAUGAUCCAGGUCAUGUUCCAUGCUCCAGGACAUGCUGAAGAAACUGCAACUGCCCAAUCAAAUAGCAGUCAGAGCACAAGAUAUAUGGUGCUGAGUGAAAGUAAAAUACUGAAAAAUUAUAGCCAGAAUGGGCUUGUCAUUAAAGAUUAUGCUACCGCUUCUAUGUACAAUAUAUUUCUCUACAUUUUCUUUACGUCUAUUUAUCACUAAUUACUACUUA